GACGAACGCUGGCGGCGUGCUUAACACAUGCAAGUCGAACGGAAAGGCCCUGCUUUUGUGGGGCGCUCGAGUGGCGAACGGGUGAGUAACACGUGAGUAGCCUGCCCUUGACUUUGGGAUAACUUCAGGAAACUGGGGCUAAUACCGGAUAGGAGCUCCUGCUGCAUGGUGGGGGUUGGAAAGUUUCGGCGGUUGGGGAUGGACUCGCGGCUUAUCAGCUUGUUGGUGGGGUAGUGGCUUACCAAGGCUUUGACGGGUAGCCGGCCUGAGAGGGUGACCGGCCACAUUGGGACUGAGAUACGGCCCAGACUCCUACGGGAGGCAGCAGUGGGGAAUAUUGCACAAUGGGCGGAAGCCUGAUGCAGCAACGCCGCGUGCGGGAUGACGGCCUUCGGGUUGUAAACCGCUUUCGCCUGUGACGAAGCGUGAGUGACGGUAAUGGGUAAAGAAGCACCGGCUAACUACGUG
rnacentral:rRNA from 1 species